GGCAAUGGCCGUGGCACUUUAAUACUCCUGAUCCUUUUAUCUCGGAAGUUAAGCAACGUGCAGUCGAGUCAGUACUUGGAUGGGAGACCACCAAGGAAGACUGGAUGCUGUAGCCA
rnacentral:rRNA from 1 species